GGGAACUAGUAUUGAAAAGGCACCAAUAGAUCGUGAUACAUCUCGCAGCAAUGAUGAAGAAGAUGAUGACGAAGAUGAUGAAGCGGAGGACUUCCCCCUUCAUUAACUGCACAAGGUUUAUCAACGACUUAACUUUUGGAACAAAUCUUUUGAGACUUGCCUAUAAAGACUAAACAUUUCUGACGUAGAUGUAUAUUUUGCGUACAAAAUUAGUCUGUAGUACUUAGUCACUCUAUAGGGCCGUAGGCAGCCUUUAACUUUCGUGACUAGACGUUUAGUAGGUUGAACAUAUUUUGCUAAACAUUCUGCGUAACCUUGCAGAACCUCUGGUAUUAAGCUUCCUAUAUGGUCUGAAGAUG
rnacentral:lncRNA from 1 species